CCUACGGGUGGCAGCAGUCGAGAAUCAUUCACAAUGGGGGAAACCCUGAUGGUGCGACGCCGCGUGGGGGAAUGAAGGUCUUCGGAUUGUAAACCCCUGUCAUGUGGGAGCAAAUUAAAAAGAUAGUACCACAAGAGGAAGAGACGGCUAACUCUGUGCCAGCAGCCGCGGUAAUACAGAGGUCUCAAGCGUUGUUCGGAAUCACUGGGCGUAAAGCGUGCGUAGGCUGUUUCGUAAGUCGGGUGUGAAAGGCGGGGGCUCAACCCGCGGACGGCACAUGAUACUGCUAGACUAGAGUAAUGGAGGGGGAGCCGGAAUUCUCGGUGUAGCAGUGAAAUGCGUAGAUAUCGAGAGGAACACUCGUGGCGAAGGCGGGUUCCUGGACAUUAACUGACGCUGAGGCACGAAGGCCAGGGGAGCGAAAGGGAUUAGAUACCCCAGUAGUC
rnacentral:rRNA from 1 species